GACGAACGCUGGCGGCGUGCCUAAUACAUGCAAGUAGAACGCUGAAGGAGGAGCUUGCUUCUCUGGAUGAGUUGCGAACGGGUGAGUAACGCGUAGGUAACCUGCCUGGUAGCGGGGGAUAACUAUUGGAAACGAUAGCUAAUACCGCAUAAUAGUAGAUGUCGCAUGACAUUUGCUUAAAAGGUGCAAUUGCAUCACUACCAGAUGGACCUGCGUUGUAUUAGCUAGUUGGUGAGGUAACGGCUCACCAAGGCAACGAUACAUAGCCGACCUGAGAGGGUGAUCGGCCACACUGGGACUGAGACACGGCCCAGACUCCUACGGGAGGCAGCAGGAGGGAAUCUUCGGCAAUGGACGGAAGUCUGACCGAGCAACGCCGCGUGAGUGAAGAAGGGUGUCGGAUCGUAAAGCUCUGUUGUAAGAGAAGAACGAGUGUGAGAGUGGAAAGUUCACACUGUGACGGUAUCUUACCAGAAAGGGACGGCUAACUACGUG
rnacentral:rRNA from 1 species